GACCUUGUAGCUCAGUUGGGAGAGCAUUGGACUAGUAUCCCAAAGGUCGCGGGUUGGAUUCCCACCGUGGUCA
rnacentral:tRNA from 1 species